UCAAUUGCUUUCAUUUGUUUAUAUGUGAAUCAAUAACUUUUUGGCAAAUAAUGAAUGUCGCAAUUGCUGAUAAAUUGAUUCUUUGUUUAAAAACUUGAACUGUAGAUCUGUGCAAAAUAUCCAUAUAUGGAUCAGUGCCAUGGACUCUUCUCAACCUAUGGACCUCAAAUCUCAUAUACGAACAUAAAAAAAAGCCUCCAAACCUCCAAAGACAGUAGCAAGAUCUUUGUUGAUGUGCUCAGGUAGAAAUUACAGAGGAGCUUAUUUGUUGGAGAUUUGAAGAGUAAAACUUAGCAGCGUGGUA